rnacentral:rRNA from 1 species
UACAUGGGGUGCAAACGUUGCUCGGAAUUAUUGGGCGUAAAGCGCACGUAGGUGGUCUGUUAUGUCAGAUGUGAAAGCCCUCGGCUUAACUGAGGAAGUGCACCUGAAACUGGCAGGCUUGAGUACGAAAGAGGGUCGCGGAAUUCCCGGUGUAGAGGUGAAAUUCGUAGAUAUCGGGAGGAACACCGGUGGCGAAGGCGGCGACCUGGUUCGAUACUGGACACUGAGGUGCGAAA